rnacentral:rRNA from 1 species
CACGUAGGGUGCGAGCAUUGUCCGGAAUUAUUGGGCGUAAAGAGCUCGUAGGCGGUGUGUCGCGUCGGCCGUGAAAACCUGCAGCUUAACUGUGGGCGUGCGGUCGAUACGGGCAUCACUGGAGUUCGGCAGGGGAGACUGGAAUUCCUGGUGUAGCGGUGAAAUGCGCAGAUAUCAGGAGGAACACCGGUGGCGAAGGCGGGUCUCUGGGCCGAUACUGACGCUGAGGAGCGAAAGCGUGGGGAGCGAACAGG